UGCCAGCAGCCGCGGUAAUACUAAUUGACCUAUCGUAGUUCGGAAUUACUGGGCUUAAAGAGUUCGUAGGUGGUUGAAAAAGUUGGUGGUGAAAUCCCAGAGCUUAACUCUGGAACUGCCAUCAAAACUUUUCAGCUAGAGUAUGAUAGAGGAAAGCAGAAUUUCUAGUGUAGAGGUGAAAUUCGUAGAUAUUAGAAAGAAUACCAAUUGCGAAGGCAGCUUUCUGGAUCAUUACUGACGCUGAGGAACGAAAGCAUGGGUAGCGAAGAGGAUUAGAUA
rnacentral:rRNA from 1 species